rfam:TPA: Bos taurus chromosome 4, whole genome shotgun sequence.
UAUCAGGCCUUUUUCAAGGCCACUCAUAUUACAUUUUAAAUCUCC